CCCAGGGUAGCCUAGUGGACAUGGCAUCUGCCCGGUAAGCGGAAGGUCGUGGGUUCGAUUCCCAUCCCUGAACA